GAUGAACGCUAGCUACAGGCUUAACACAUGCAAGUCGAGGGGCAUGAUGCUUAUAGCAAUAUAAGUGAUGGCGACCGGCGCACGGGUGAGUAACACGUAUCCAACCUGCCGAUAACUCGGGGAUAGCCUUUCGAAAGAAAGAUUAAUACCCGAUGGUAUAAUAAAACCGCGUGGUUUAAUUAUUAAAGAAUUUCGGUUAUCGAUGGGGAUGCGUUCCAUUAGGCAGUUGGUGAGGUAACGGCUCACCAAACCUUCGAUGGAUAGGGGUUCUGAGAGGAAGGUCCCCCACAUUGGAACUGAGACACGGUCCAAACUCCUACGGGAGGCAGCAGUGAGGAAUAUUGGUCAAUGGGCGCGAGCCUGAACCAGCCAAGUAGCGUGAAGGAUGACUGCCCUAUGGGUUGUAAACUUCUUUUAUAUGGGAAUAAAGUGAUCCACGUGUGGAUUUUUGUAUGUACCAUAUGAAUAAGGAUCGGCUAACUCCGUGCCAGCAGCCGCGGUAAUACGGAGGAUCCGAGCGUUAUCCGGAUUUAUUGGGUUUAAAGGGAGCGUAGGUGGACAGUUAAGUCAGUUGUGAAAGUUUGCGGCUCAACCGUAAAAUUGCAGUUGAUACUGGCUGUCUUGAGUACAGUAGAGGUGGGCGGAAUUCGUGGUGUAGCGGUGAAAUGCUUAGAUAUCACGAAGAACUCCGAUUGCGAAGGCAGCUCACUGGACUGCAACUGACACUGAUGCUCGAAAGUGUGGGUAUCAAACUGGAUUAGAUACCCUGGUAGUCCACA
rnacentral:rRNA from 1 species